UUCCCCUCUGUUCAGUGGAUCUCAAGAGUAAACAUAGCUACAUAGAAAUGUUCUUACCAGGAUUUGGGGCUAUAAAUGAAACUGCUCAAGGUGUUGUGCUCACUGGCACGGUGCAGCUAACAUCUUUUGCAGAUUCCUGUUACAAGCAUGCAUGAAACAGGAAACAUUGGCUUUGCAGUUGAACUCUUCCAGUGUAGUCUAGGGUCCGCCCCUUCCAAAUGCAUAGC
rnacentral:lncRNA from 1 species